rnacentral:rRNA from 1 species
AACGAACGCUGGCGGCAGGCUUAACACAUGCAAGCCGAGCGCCCCGCAAGGGGAGCGGCUGACGGGUGAGUAACGCGUGGGAAUCUACCCAUCUCUACGGAAUAACGCAUGGAAACGUGUGCUAAUACCGUAUACGUCCUUCGGGAGAAAGAUUUAUCGGAGAUGGAUGAGCCCGCGUUGGAUUAGCUAGUUGGUGGGGAAAAGGCCUACCAAGGCGACGAUCCAUAGCUGGUCUGAGAGGAGGAUCAGCCACACUGGGACUGAGACACGGCCCAGACUCCUCCGGGGGGCAGCAGUGGGGAAGAUUGGACAAUGGGCGCAAGCCUGGUCCAGCCGUGCCGCGUGAGUGAUGAAGGCCCUAGGGUUGUAAAGCUCUUUCACCGGUGAAGAUAAUGACGGUAACCGGAGAAGAAGCCCCGGCUAACUUCGUGCCAGCAGCCGCCGCCGUAA